UAUCUCUUAGUUUAAUAGGUUAAAACAUUGCUCUUUCAAAGCAAGAAUAUAGGUUCAAGUCCUAUAGAGUGAA
rnacentral:tRNA from 1 species